rnacentral:rRNA from 1 species
UGCGGACAGUGUCUGGUGGGUAGUUUGACUGGGGCGGUCUCCUCCUAAAGAGUAACGGAGGAGCACGAAGGUUGGCUAAUCCUGGUCGGACAUCAGGAGGUUAGUGCAAUGGCAUAAGCCAGCUUGACUGCGAGCGUGACGGCGCGAGCAGGUGCGAAAGCAGGUCAUAGUGAUCCGGUGGUUCUGAAUGGAAGGGCCAUCGCUCAACGGAUAAAAGGUACUCCGGGGAUAACAGGCUGAUACCGCCCAAGAGUUCAUAUCGACGGCGGUGUUUGGCACCUCGAUGUCGGCUCAUCACAUCCUGGGGCUGAAGUAGGUCCCAAGGGUAUGGCUGUUCGCCAUUUAAAGUGGUACGCGAGCUGGGUUUAGAACGUCGUGAGACAGUUCGGUCCCUAUCUGCCGUGGGCGCUGGAGAACUGAGGGGGGCUGCUCCUAGUACGAGAGGACCGGAGUGGACGCAUCACUGGUGUUCGGGUUGUCAUGCCAAUGGCACUGCCCGGUAGCUAAAUGCGGAAGAGAUAAGUGCUGAAAGCAUCUAAGCACGAAACUUGCCCCGAGAUGAGUUCUCCCUGAGACUUUAGGUCUCCUGAAGGAACGUUGAAGACGACGACGUUGAUAGGCCGGGUGUGUAAGCGCAGCGAUGCGUUGAGCUAACCGGUACUAAUGAACCGUGAGGCUUAACCUUACA